CGGGUGAGUAAUACAUCGGAACGUGUCUUCUAGUGGGGGAUAACUGCCCGAAAGGGCAGCUAAUACCGCAUGAGACCUGAGGGUGAAAGCGGGGGAUCGCAAGACCUCGCGCUGGAAGAGCGGCCGAUGUCCGAUUAGCUAGUCGGUGAGGUAAAGGCUCACCAAGGCGACGAUCGGUAGCUGGUCUGAGAGGACGACCGGCCACACUGGGACUGAGACACGGCCCAG
rnacentral:rRNA from 1 species